AGCUCAGCGGUUAGAGCAGCGGACUCAUAAUCUGCUAAGGGCUGAAUCGCACUGAAACCCACUGAGCGCCA
rnacentral:tRNA from 1 species